GACGAACGCUGGCGGCGUGCUUGACACAUGCAAGUCGAACGGAAAGGCCCUGCUUUUGGUGGGUUCUCGAUUGGCGAACGGGUGAGUAACACGUGAGUAUCCUGCCCUUGACUUUGGGAUAACUUCAGGAAACUGGGGCUAAUACCGGAUAGGAGCUCCUGCUGCAUGGUGGGGGUUGGAAAGUUUCGGCGGUGGGGGAUGGACUCGCGGCUUAUCAGCUUGUUGGUGGGGUAGUGGCUUACCAAGGCUUUGACGGGUAGCCGGCAUGAGAGGGUGACCGGCCACCUUGGGACUGAGAUACGGCCCAGACUCCUACGGGAGGCAGCAGUGGGGAAUAUUGCACAAUGGGCGGAAGCCUGAUGCAGCAACGCCGCGUGCGGGAUGACGGCCUUCGGGUUGUAAACCGCUUUCGCCUGUGACGAAGAGUGAGUGACGGUAAUGGGUAAAGAAGCACCGGCUAACUACGUG
rnacentral:rRNA from 1 species